AGUUUCUGCUUCCCACAGGAAUGGAGCCGGAGCCAGAGCAGGCACCAGCGUGGGCCCAGCACCUGAUGAGGCAGGAUCCUUCCCCUUGGAGAUGAUUUUCCCUGCCCAGCACUGCUUUGCAGCCCAGCACUGAAGACCCCGCCUCAUCUCUAGGGGAAGAUGAAAUACAGGAGGUGCAGGCACUGACAGCCAGCCUAAAAUGAAAGAAUGAAAAAGGGACCCAGCAAAACCUCUGCCUGUGGCAGCCCAGCCUUGCCUUGCCUUGCCUGCAGCCUGCUGAGGGGGUCAGGGUGGUGCUCCCAAGGACACCGGUAACCGGGAAGGUGGCUGAUGACCAGUGUGAGUCUCCAGUAUGAGAGAAGGGGGCUGGAACCAGCACGAGGGGGAGCAACAAGGACCUCCAUCCCUGCUCUUCAAAAGGUACAGACAAAGCACUCUAUACCAUGAUUGUAGUAUUAUUUUUCAUGAUUUACGAGUUUACUAAUGCUACUAAAUGUCCUCUCCCUGAUGUGAACCCCUCCCUUCUCCACUCACUUAUUAAGAGGUGAUAUUUUUACCACGGAGCUUUGAAAUAAAAGGAAGACAGACAUGACAUGUUCAGUGUCUGCACAAGGAUUGAGGGAGAGGAACAAUUUUCCUCUUCCUCCUCUGGAAGACACCAACCCAGAGCAACAAAAAGGGCAAGUAAAAUUCCAAGCCUGGUCCCUGUAUUGAUCAGGAAUAAUUAAACAAACUCUCCAAGCAGCCCAGAAUUUGAUUGGAUUAAAAAAAGUGUAUUGGACGUCCAAUACCAAAUAAUAAACAUGAAGUUAUUAAAAAAAGCCAUAGAGGAUACAGCAAAUACUACAGGAAAGCAAAAAAAAAUUGUACAGAAAGGUCGACGCCUACAGCAGCCCUCAAAAUUAUUCUACAUGAGAUCAUAAAACAAUAUACAGGUUUGGUUCUCUUUUCCCCAAAUGUCUGAGGGAAGCUGCCACUUGACAGCUUGACUAUGACACUACAAGGAUACACAAUGUUCCAAAUUUAAAAUCACAGGAUAUGUAAGAAAACGUAGCAUUAAAAUGUGAAAAAAGUGCAAUACAGAUUGUACACUGAAUUGAAUAAACGUUUUUUUCCUUUUUUUUUUUCAGUUUAACCUUAAAAAACCAACUUUGAACAGUUGUUUUAUCAUUAAAAAUAUUCCCCCUCCCCAAAUUCAAUGACAAUAUUAACAUUCAUGGUGUUAUACAUAAGGAAUAUUCACAAAGACCCCUCCCUCCCCCCUUCCCGCCAGGAAUACUGUGUUUGUAGGAUGGUAUUUCUUUGGGUACAGGUAAAAAAUAGGCAAAGGAAAAGGUUCACACCCUCCUUCCAGGCCAGGGUGUGCAUUUGAUUCUUUAAACACAUAUUCUGUAGCUUAUUUUGCCCUGAAUGGUACUGAUUAGAAGUCCAAACAUCAGUUCUCCAGGUCGCCCACAGUGCCCCAAUUAAUUUGAUUCCCUUCCCUCCCUCAAAUAAUAAAUAAAGGCAGGACAUGUUCCAGAAAUGACAACAGAGAGUCCGGGAAAAGAAAGGAAGUGACACUACAGCACCAUCCCUGCUGCUCUCCAGGUGAUUCCGUGGCUCUCCCCUCUCUUGGAGACAAGGAUGAGGAGCUUCAGU